rnacentral:lncRNA from 1 species
CACAGAUUUCCACCCUCUCCAGUGGGGCACAGCCAAGCUGCCCAGUGCUCGGUGGAUAAGGAACUGGGCAGGAAAUGGUGUGAGACGCGCGUGGGAGGAAAGGGGCAGGAGGCACAGUGGGGGCUCGGGGAAGAGAGGUCCCACAGCCUGUCCCUACACAGCACAUCCCUGUUUCCCUGCCUCCAUCCCUUACCAAGCCACCACCAGGCGCGCGGGGCACAAACACUGCGCACGCGCCUCCCCGAUUCUGCUCACAGCCGAGCCGCUUUGCGUUGCCACUGCCGAGACGCGCAUGCGCAUUCCGGCCGAAACGCUCACCUCUAUCAUUUUGAUUCCCAACCACCCUCCUUUUCUCUGUCUCGCUCAGAUUCCUCCAAGCCGCGCGGCACAGGGGGCAAUGGAAGAGAGGGAUUUUUAAAAGCCUUAAAGCCGGACUUGACCUUUCAACUGCCGGAAGGUCAAAGGUUACCAACAAAAUGGCGGCCACAGCUGCUGCUGGGUUUACUGGCAGUGUGGAGCCGGUGGACGCCGGACGGGCCCAGGCAGCGCCUCGCCCGCCCUGCUAAGCCCUGGGACGGAGUUACAUUGAGGGUCCCGAGCUGCUGUGUGCGCGGGUUAGCGCCCAGCCGCCCCUACUGCCCCCGAGACACGCUGCCGGAAGGCAGCGGCCGCCAGCCCAGCCCGUGCUCCGGGAGCGGCGGCAGCCAGGAACCGGAGCAGCUUCCACGCGCGUAGGAGCCACAACCUCAGCGCUACCAAGUCAGGAGCAGCUCCUGCUCGCCCAGGGCUGCAGCCGAGCCGUGCCCCCACGGCACCCCACCCGGCAGGAGCCGCAGAGCAGCCCCCGACCUGCCCCAUCCCUUCCUGGCAGCAGCCGACGCCCCUACCCCCAAGAGCGGCAGCCUCGCUCCCGCCUAAAAAUAGCAAACGCCUUAGCAGCCCCCUCCCACCUACCUAUUAGCAGCAGCCCCUGCUGACCCAGCAGGAGCAUGAACCCCUCACCCCAGUCAUCACUAUCAGUAGUUCCCAGACCUCCCCCAGCAGAGUCCAUCACCUGUUGAGCAGCAGGCCCGCAACACCUAUUUCCCCUCCGCAUUUUGCAACUCCGAUUGUGUGAAGGAGGCAGGAGAUUUGUCCCCUCCUUGUACCUUCUGUGGAAGGGAAUUGUGUGUCACGCACAUACAUAUAUACAAGAAGACUGUAUAUUGUUGACUUUAUAACUGUGCAGCUUCUCUGGCUGAAUCUUGGGUGUCUUAGAUCUACUGAUGAGAGAACAGUAAUGAAAGGGAACUUGACAAGGGGAAAAAUCAAACCACCCAUCCAAAGACCGCUAAUGAGGACGAUGUUGAUGCAUAUUUGACUCUCAACA